AUUGCGCCCCGAGUUGAGCGGAAAUCCUUUUUUGCGCGGCAGCUUCGCUGCCGCGCAAAAAAGAUUGGGAGCGGAACGAGGAAUUUGGC
rnacentral:sRNA from 1 species